rnacentral:rRNA from 1 species
UACGUAGGGUGCGAGCGUUAUUCGGAAUUAUUGGGCGUAAAGGGCGCGUAGGCGGCUUUGCAAGUGACGGGUGAAAUCCCUCGGCUUAACCGAGGAACUGCCUGUCAAACUGCAUGGCUUGAGACCGGGAGAGGUGAGUGGAAUUCCCAGUGUAGCGGUGAAAUGCGUAGAUAUUGGGAGGAACACCAGUGGCGAAGGCGGCUCACUGGACCGGUACUGACGCUGAUGCGCGAAAGCGUGGGGAGCAAACAGG